rnacentral:ncRNA from 1 species
UGAAAUCGCGAAAGCGGUUUCCUGAUGAGAGGAAGCCAACAUGGCACUCAGCGUUGAAGAAAAAGCCCAGAUCGUAAACGAGUACAAGCAAGCUGAA